rnacentral:rRNA from 1 species
AUUGAACGCUGGCGGCAGGCCUAACACAUGCAGGUCGAGCGGAUGAAGGGAGCUUGCUCCUGGAUUCAGCGGCGGACGGGUGAGUAAUGCCUAGGAAUCUGCCUGGUAGUGGGGGAUAACGUCCGGAAACGGGCGCUAAUACCGCAUACGUCCUGAGGGAGAAAGUGGGGGAUCUUCGGACCUCACGCUAUCAGAUGAGCCUAGGUCGGAUUAGCUAGUUGGUGGGGUAAAGGCCUACCAAGGCGACGAUCCGUAACUGGUCUGAGAGGAUGAUCAGUCACACUGGAACUGAGACACGGUCCAGACUCCUACGGGAGGCAGCAGUGGGGAAUAUUGGACAAUGGGCGAAAGCCUGAUCCAGCCAUGCCGCGUGUGUGAAGAAGGUCUUCGGAUUGUAAAGCACUCUAAGUUGGGAGGAAGGGCAGUAAGUUAAUACCUUGCUGUUUUGACGUUACCAACAGAAUAAGCACCGGCUAACUUCGUG